CAUGUGGGCUGGACUUAGUGACAUGUUUCUGAUGAAUAGAAUACUGCAGAAGUGAUGGUAUAUCACCCUUAAUAUUAGGUUAUAAAAAGACUGUGCCUUCCAUCUUGGGUGGUCUCUCUCUCUCUCUUUCUCUUUCUUUCUCUCUCUGUAUCUCUUUCUUUGAUCCCUUAAUCUAAAGAAAGCCAGCUGGCACAUCAAAAAGACACUCAGACAACCUAUGGAUAGGAUUGGGGGUUUUGCUCCAAAGGCCAACAGCCAGUGAAGAACUGAGGCCUGCUGCCAACCACAAGAGAGAGUCUAGAAGAGGAUUCCAGCCCCAGGCAAGUCUUGAGAUGACUGCAUCCCUGAUGGCCUGACCGCAAUUUUGUCAGUGACUUUGAGUCAGAAUCUCACAGUGUUCCAGGAAGUCAUGGCAAUUGAGAAGGCGUAGGAGGAAGAAAUCUUGUUGCCUCUUCCCUCAAAAUACAUCCAGAACUUGUCCUCUUUUAUCACCUCCACCGCCCUGACCUUGGCCCAAGCCUCUAUUAUCC
rnacentral:lncRNA from 1 species